UACAGAGGUGGCAAGCGUUGUUCGGAAUUACUGGGCGUAAAGGGCGCGUAGGCGGCCUUGUAAGUCCUGUGUGAAAUCCCCCGGCUCAACUGGGGAACUGCACAGGAGACUGCUUGGCUUGAGUUCGGGAGAGGGAAGCGGAAUUCCGGGUGUAGCGGUGAAAUGCGUAGAUAUCCGGAGGAACACCGGUGGCGAAGGCGGCUUCCUGGCCAUUCACUGACGCUGAGACGCGAAAGCGUGGGGAGCAAACAGG
rnacentral:rRNA from 1 species